ensembl:lncRNA
GAAGGAGGGUGAUGAGGAGAUAUCCCUCGUCCAAGGUAAGGAGCAGCUGCUGUGCUUUCCUGGAGCAGCCAUGAAGAGAUAACCUGCAUCCAAGGGCCUCAGCCAUCAUUGUUAUGCAAAGGCUUACAGAAAGUUUGAUCCACCAUGAGAUACCACAUAACAACUGCAUCGGACCAACUGAUCAAUUCUACAGCAAAGAUAUUGUGGCAGAAAUACCUUUAUAUGAUACUGUGUUACAACUGAAAGAAUACUUGGGUCUUGGAACCAAGUGUGGAAAGACUGAGAACAUACACAAGGAGACAUAAGGAAGAAUGACCAAAGGACUAGAAUACUGGACCAGAUCUUUAAGUAAAAAAGGCCCAUAGGUUGGUAGAGAUGAAGACUGAAGGAAAUCCAAGUGUGAAUGGAACGUACAAAGUUAAGACUAAAUAAAAGGUACUGGAAGAAUAAUAAAAUACCAGUAUCGGAUAGAAGAAUGCUUCUACUUUCAUAUCUGAUAUUUGAAGUUGCUGUGAG